CCUCUUGGCUUCUCAUGGGGCUGAGGGAUCACCAGGGCCACCGUGGCUGCAAGCAGGAAUGGGGGCAGACUGGAGCAGAUAUUGCUGGCCCUGCCUGGCCCUCAUCCUAGCCACACCAGAGACAGUCCCCAUUCCCUACCCUGCUCCCCUUGCCCAUGUGCUUAUCCUGGUACACCCCUAAACCCAACUCUCGCAACACCAGAGUGUCUGGCCUGGCUGUUUUGUCCUUAACAACCUUGAUCUGCACCCACUGCAGAGAGGGGGGACUGGGAACAACUCACAUCCAAGCCAUACAAAUGUCCCUACCCGAGUCAGCGGGGACUUACUACCGUGUGUCCUGUUGCACCUCUGACCAGAAGAGCCCCCAGAAAGCAUCCACAGGCAUGACUUGCCCUCGGCACGGCAGCGGGGGUGACAACCACAUACUGGGCAGCCAGAGAGGUACCCCGAAGCACAGAGGUGGUGGAAGAGAGCAGCAAAGAGGAAAGCUGCCAGUCAGUAUGGGGCCGCAGGGAGGACAAGCAGGUCUGCCCAGCACAUCAAGCACCUUGCUGCUUCAACUGCCUGUGAUGCCUGGAGAAAGGACUGAGCCAAGGGCUGCUCUGGCUCCUCUUUAUACAUGGCAGGACCUCAAAGAAACAGAGCAGAGCCAAGGAAACAGAGGUAUCUGCAGGAAGAGCAUGUUUGUUGCAUUCGUCAGUGCUGACUCCUUCAAGCACCUCUGACCCAAGGUUUCUGUGUAGGUGGAAAAACUUGGGGUUGGUUAUUUGCUCUGCCAGACGCCUGGGCCAUUACUACAUAUUUUGAAGACAGUGAGAGUGAGCUGCCGAGGCAUAUGAACAGUGUGAAUACAAAGAGGAAUAACCUGGAAUUUCCUUCUGGAAGAAAAAAAAUGACAUAUUGGAGGGGUAGAAGAAGUAAGGUUUUCCCCUUCCUUUGACAAAUGCUUCGAAAUAUUUAGAUUAGUCCGUUUUUCAAUAAAAAGAGCAAAAUUGGUGCCUAAAGCUACAGAAAGAACUGUGCUCAUUAAAAAAAAGAAAUUUUGAUUUUAAAAAUAUAUCGAGUCUGACUUUUAUGAAUGCUUCUACUCUUCACUGAGCUUUUCAAGCUAUCGUCAUGUUGGAAAGCUUACCACAUUGUUUGGAUGAGUUAUUUGGUUAUAAGAAGGCAGGGGACCAAAACCCCAUGGAAAAAAUUAUUAGAGCAAAUGCUGCAGAGCAACCGGCUGUAUUUUGCUGUAUUUGUGCAGGGUAUGUUUUAAGUGCAAGCGAUAGCACUGGAGAGAAGCUUUUUCCAUGUCAAUUUUGGCAUGCAUGGCAUGCAGCAACAGCCUAGUUUCACAGGACUCAUUCUGCCAAAUCUAUGGAGCCCAGUAUUGACUUUGCUGAGUAAAUAUUUUUGAAGGCCUUUGCAGUGCCUGUGUAAGCAAUUCCCUGCUAUGGUUCUGCAAAAAUGCCAUUGCUUUUCAAGAAGUAGAAAUGACUUUCCACAGUAGCGUUGGAAAUGUUAACACAGUGCUAUGCCUCUCAUUUUGUACCAUCAGAUGCUGGGCAGUGGAAGUGUGAUCUUAGAGCAAGCACAUGAGCCAUAGUGAAGCAUGGGAGAGAGCAUAAUUUGCUUCAUUUGCAUGCACUAAACAAGCAACAGCCCAGUUCCUGGCUAAGGCAUUAAUUGUUUGGUAAUACAGCAGGUGAGAACAGCAGGUUGACCACUGUCAGAGCAAACUCUGGGCAUGAAAUUCGAGCAGAUAUAACUUAGAUACUAGCUUUAGGCUAGCAUCCAAAAAGUUUAUAGCUGCUUUCUUGGUGGAAUAUAGUGCUGUUUUGGGAACAGUUUUUGUUGCCUGUUGUAAUGCAGCCUAUACUGAUCUGCUGCAGGACACACGGCAAAGUGAAAGACAUACAUUGAAAGCAAAAAAAGUUUUUUUAAAGAAAAAGUCAGACUGACACGGUUUGUCUUUUCUCCAGAGAAAAGCAUGUAAAGGGGAAGGGAGGCCAUUAAAUAGGGUUCAGGAGGCCUGAAUAGAGCUCCUGUCUCAGACUUUCUCUGUGACCUUAGGAAAGCUGCUUAACUCCCAUCCACAAAACAGAGAUGAUAUAGUUUCCAUCUCCCUGUGGUGUUAUAAGGCAGAAUCAACCACAAACCUUGGAACUUUACAUUUGGCUGUGAUAGGCAGGACAUGAAAGUACCUAAAUGAGAAAGGAAUUAAGAAACAAAUGCAAUGGUUUAUUAAAAUACAAAAAUGCAAAAAUCCCUCCUCUAUUUUCAGGCACCAGUCCCAUGCUGGCUUUUUGCUACUUGUUGCCAUUACAGAUUUGCUGACCACUGCCUGUAAAUGGCCCACUGCUGCUUGUGGCAAAGGCCUUUUUGUCUCCCUGGAUAAAGGACCACAUCCCAGUAGUUUAAGGAUAGUGUGGAAGUCUCGCAUCGCAGCCGUGAUCCCACUCACUGAGGUUUGAAGUUGUGCCUGGGGAAGGGGGAGGGAAGGCAUUUCCUUAAGUCCUCAUGUAAUUUUUUUAUAUCUUCUGUGCUUCUUAAUACCCAAAUCAGUAAUUAAAAGUGUACGUUAAUUGGCAAUAAAUUAAAUUAAGUGAAA